UACGUAGGGGGCAAACGUUGUCCGGAUUUAUUGGGCGUAAAGAGCGUGUAGGCGGCCAGACAGGUCCGUUGUGAAAACUCGAGGCUCAACCUCGAGACGCCGAUGGAAACCGUCUGGCUAGAGUCCGGAAGAGGAGAGUGGAAUUCCCGGUGUAGCGGUGAAAUGCGCAGAUAUCGGGAAGAACACCCGUGGCUAAGGCGGCUCUCUAGUACGGUACUGACGCUGAGACGCGAAAGCGUGGGGAGCGAACAGG
rnacentral:rRNA from 1 species